GUUAAGACGGCAGAGCCCGGCAAUUGCGUAAAAUUUACAACUUUAUGGGCAGAGGUUCAAUUCCUCUUCUUAACA
rfam:Homo sapiens chromosome 6, GRCh38 reference primary assembly.